AAGCAAAUGUCAUUUUUUAUGUUCAUUCUGUGUAAUGCUGUAAUUCAUUACACAGAAUGAGUGUGGAUAGCUUCCCAAAGAUCUGAAAUAAGGAGCACCAGAAGCUCAGAGAGCUAGGUGAUACUCUGAAGAUGUCCUGCAUGGGAUUGUGUAUGAUUGGGAUCCGGUGAUCCCAUAACAACAUCAAUACAGCUUAUUUGACGUUGUGGAGUGCAGCAGAAACAUCUGCUGGACAGUCCUGUGGCCCGUGAGUUCCACCGUUGGCCAGCCUUGAUUGAAAGGUCACACAACGGAAAUUUUCCAGAACGUAGCUCCAUGUUUGAAUAGUGAACAUCACUAGUGGUGCCUGAAUGGUCAUCCAAGUGUUUUAGCAGGGACCUCUGUGUUAAAGGGGGCUUUAGACAAGCUGGAGACAUAAACAGCAUUGUGGAGAAACUCACAGGCUCCCGGUACAAAGAAGACCACAACGUCUAUUUCCCUCCACUCUCUUUCUUUGUUCAGCAGUCAAAGCUAAAAAACUUAAUUUGACUUAAUUUAACUCCAUAAGACUUAAGACUGUCAGGCUGAACAAGAAGCCAGAAAGGUUUUCUGCAGCAAAAUGGCUUCUGUUUCAGUUUUUGUGCAUCAACAUCACAUCUAGUAAAGAACAAUUUAAAUAAUUUGAAAUGCACCCAUUGUGGCAGUGAUGAACCCAAGACAAUUCUGCACUAUGAAUGUGUGGUCCAUUGCGGUGAUAAUGUUGGCUUUUAUAUCAUGUGGUCUAAUGAGGUAAUAGAGGCAAUUAACUAAGAUCAAGAUCUGUCACAUGUCACCAUCCUCACAGAAGUAGUCUUGUACGAUUUGUUCUGCAAUAUGGUUGAGAGUAAUAUAAAUCUGUUUAUAUACCUUGACAACCACUGGACCAACCACCUGGACUCUGCCAGAUGAUUAGUGGUUAGUGUUCUCUGCUUUAACUUUAAUGUUUGCAGUGCAUUGCCACUUGCUCACCGUACGGUGAGCAAGUCGCAUGGGUCGGCACAGGUCGGCUUAGGUCAGGAGG
ensembl:lncRNA